rnacentral:siRNA from 1 species
UUGUGUCCUACAAAAUAUUGC